GACAAGCCAGAUAUGGAUCCCUGCUUUCCACAAGUGGCUGAAAUCCCAGUCUCUCCAGGCAUUGUUCUUAAAGAAAGUUCAUUUUGGGGAAGCCAUGGUGUGGACGUGGAUGUUGGACCUGGCUGAUGUCAGGGCAUUUUCUGUGGUGCUGGCCCCUUCCCCCUUGUUUCCGUGCUGCAUGAUCUCCUGGUGAAGGCUGAGUUCAGCUCAACUAAUUCACCAAAAUUUUGGCUCUCGUCUGCAAUGAAUUCGUCAAGAGCUGGCUCUGAUAGGCUGACUGUGACCAAGGUGUUAACCACUGAUUUGGGGAUUUUGCUCUCUGGAGGAGAGGCUAUGGCCACUGAGACCUACAGAAAGUCUGAGAUUAUGACCACAAUCCCUAGAUUUGGGAUUGUGACCCCUACAAGGGACACCAUGUCCUUUGGAAAGCAUAGCGUAGCUCUAGAAAGGAAGACUGAGACCCAUGGAGAGAAUAUCACAACCCCUGUGGGCCAUCAGUCUGUGACCCUGGGAAAGAAGAUUAUGACUUCUCAGUAUUUUUUGACUGAGACCCAUGGAGAGAAGAUCAUGUCCCAUAGAAGGAAGGCUGUAGCUCUUGAAAAGCUGCCUAACCCCUCUGGAAAGAAGACAGUCACCCCUGAUGGGCAGACCAAGACUCAAAGAGGAGAGAAUUUGACUUCUGAGGUGGAAACUGACCCCGAGGUGUGGCUGUUGGUGGCAGAAGCUGGAGAAAGGCCUUGUCUUUACUUCUAGGUCACCUGCCAGAAGCUGCCUGGGCCCAGCCAUCCAUAAACCAUUAUGGGGCAAAACAGGCCCAAAGCCAUAGUGAGUUAAUCUCUUUUCUGUUGAAUAAACUGGAAA